rnacentral:ncRNA from 1 species
ACGAGGCAGUGCUGAACACGCAGAAGUCAGCAAAGGUCAUAGUAGCCAAACGGAACAAGUUCCGUUCGAGGUGAAGGAC